rnacentral:rRNA from 1 species
ACCGGCCGUCACCCUCAUCACACCUACAAGCGCCAGGGAAUUACGAGCACAAGCUUAAAACCCAAAGGAUUUGACGGUGUCCCACCCACCUAGAGGAGCCUGUUCUAUAAUCGAUGAUCCUCGAUACACCCCACCAUUUUUUGCUUCUUCAGCCUGUAUACCUCCGUCGCAAACUUACCAUUUGAGUGCCUCAAAGUAAGUUCAAUCCGGGCCCUACCCGCCAAUACGUCAGGNCAAGGUGCAGCCUAUAAAAUGGAAAGCAAUGGGCUACAAUUUCUAAUAUAGAACAUACGAAAUACUACAUGAAACAUAGUCAUGAAGGCGGAUUUAGUAGUAAAAGAAGAAUAGUGAGCUUCUUUUAACAAGGCCCUGGGACGUGUACACACCGNCCGU